GACGAACGCUGGCGGCGUGCUUAACACACGCAAGUCGAACGGUGAAAGGGAGCUUGCUCCCUGGAUCAGUGGCGAACGGGUGAGUAACACGUGGGCAACCUGCCCCAGACUUCGGGAUAACGCUUCGAAAGAGGUGCUAAUACCGGAUACGAACUCCUUGGGCAUCCUGGGAGUUGGAAAGUUUUUCGGUCUGGGAUGGGCCCGCGGCCUAUCAGCUUGUUGGUGAGGUAACGGCUCACCAAGGCGACGACGGGUAGCCGGCCUGAGAGGGCGACCGGCCACACUGGGAAUGAGACACGGCGCAGACUCCUACGGGAGGCAGCAGUGGGGAAUAUUGCGCAAUGGGCGAAAGCCUGACGCAGCAACGCCGCGUGAGGGAUGACGGCCUUCGGGUUGUAAACCUCUUUCAGCAGGGAAGAAGCGAAAGUGACGGUACCUGCAGAAGAAGCACCGGCUAACUACGUGCCAGCCGCCGCAGUAACAC
rnacentral:rRNA from 1 species